UCCAUGGUUUGCUCGCGUGCCACACCGAACAUGCGCGCUGUACUUCAGUGACGUCGCUCCAUUGGAGCCUGUGGUUGMAGCGCGAGUUAUUUUCACAUAUCAACCAGGAGAGAGAGGAGAGCGAGCGCACGGCGGUGCCAGACAUGGUCAGCGGUUUCAGAGAACACUGUGAAAUCAACCGGGAGGGACAACAUCCUAGACAUGGAAUGCGACUGUGCAACAUUGUGUCUUUCCUGGCUGACUGACGUUAUUUUUCUGCUCAACCAUUGAAGAGGAGGAGGUUUGUCGUUUACGUAUUGGAUUCCAGAGAACUGGGAACACCCCUGUCUCUAUUUCUCCCCCUCGGGUUGAAAAGUCACCAGAGUAGAAAGGAUAUUUCGGUUUAUUGGAAUUAUAGCUGCUCUGAAGAUGAUCACCGGUGUUUUCUGGGAACAUUGUCUUGGAUGAGAACCUGUGAGCAUCAUGAGUACCAAUGCCUAUCAGCAGGGAUCUUUGGGCAGUGAGCGCUCUGGACCUAUCCGGUGUCAGCGUUGUCGGGAGGUGUGUAAGGGAGAGGUGGUGCGCGUUCAGGACACACACUUCCACGUCAAGUGUUUCACCUGCACAGUGUGUGGGUGUGGCCUGGCUAGAUCUGGGUUCUUUCAGAAGAGUGGUGAGUACAUCUGUACGUCAGACUACCAACGUCUGUA